UGACAGGUGGUGCAUGGUUGUCGUCAGCUCGUGUCGUGAGAUGUUGGGUUAAGUCCCGCAACGAGCGCAACCCUUGAUCUUAGUUGCCAGCAUUCAGUUGGGCACUCUAAGGUGACUGCCGGUGACAAACCGGAGGAAGGUGGGGAUGACGUCAAAUCAUCAUGCCCCUUAUGACCUGGGCUACACACGUGCUACAAUGGACAGAACAAAGGGCUGCGAGACCGCAAGGUUUAGCCAAUCCCACAAAUCUGUUCUCAGUUCGGAUCGCAGUCUGCAACUCGACUGCGUGAAGCUGGAAUCGCUAGUAAUCGCGGAUCAGCAUGCCGCGGUGAAUACGUUCCCGGGUCUGUUACACACCG
rnacentral:rRNA from 1 species